rnacentral:lncRNA from 1 species
AUAAGGAGUAGUGGAAAAAUUGAUGUUGCUUGGAAGUUGAGGACAGUCAAUGUAGUCACAUCAUUUAUGUAAGCAAGUUGCAGCUGCAGCCGGUAUGAACCACAUCAACCGCAAAUUACACAAAGAGGGCGCUGUCGCAUAAAGGCUGCGGAAUUCAUUGGUUACAAGAACAAGGGUUAUGAAGAUAGAUGUCAUUGUACACAUCCUGAUCUAAUAUCUUAUUUAUUGUCGAAGAUAAAGAUUAUUCGUUUGUAAUUAAUAUAAUUACAGUUGAUUACUAUUCAACUGUUGAAGUUGUGCUUGUAUGCUGUUUUAUGUUUUGCUGUUUUCAUCAUUGAUGCUUGCAUUGGUGGUUUAAUCUAAAUUUCUGUACAUCGUAAUCCAGAAAUUUAAGUAAAUUUCAUUCUUGGAAUUUUUUUUUCCUCAUUUUACAACAUAAAUGUAAGUACAAUUUUUUAAUACUAGUUGAUAUUAUUUAGCAUAGUUGGGUAAUGCAUGUUUUGGAGAAAAAAAAAUAUAUAUCUGACAUCUCAAGCAUUCAUCUUGCUAUUGAUAUCAUUUGGCAAUAAACCAUUAAAAAUUACCAAUUUAUUGACAAUAUUUUAGUAAUAUUAUAAAUUUCCAGAGACAUAGUGUUACUGUGCUAUUUACGUGUUAAUAUUGUCAAACAUUGAAAAAAUAUAAAAUACU